rnacentral:rRNA from 1 species
UACGAAGGGUGCAAACGUUGCUCGGAAUUAUUGGGCGUAAAGUGCACGUAGGCGGCUUUUCAAGUCCCAUGUGAAAGCCCACGGCUUAACCGUGGAAGUGCAUGGGAAACUGGAAGCUUGAGUACUUAAGAGGAUCGCGGAAUUCCCGGUGUAGAGGUGAAAUUCGUAGAUAUCGGGAGGAACACCAGUGGCGAAGGCGGCGAUCUGGGAAGAUACUGACGCUGAGGUGCGAAAGCGUGGGGAGCAAACAGGG